GCCCCAGUGGCCUAAUGGAUAAGGCGCUGGCCUCCUAAGCCAGGGAUUGUGGGUUCAAGUCCCAUCUGGGGUG
rnacentral:tRNA from 1 species